UCCUGUUUGAGAGUCUUCUCAGAUCAGUCCACUGCCCUCGUCGGUGUCACUGCUAUCAUCUGGUUUGAAUUUAUGCUGCUGCUUUUUUUCUUCAAGCUUGUGCUGCAAAGCAAGAGAUCCUUUUAUAUGUGUUGCACUAAUAAUUUAGCAUGGUUGCUUGACAUGAUGUUUCACACAUCUGUUUAUUCACAUGAUUUUAUUCAAGUAUAAGCAAUUUGAUACUUC
rnacentral:sRNA from 1 species